GAUGAAGAACGUAGUGAAAUGCGAUAAGUAGUGUGAAUUGCAGAAUUCAGUGAAUCAUCGAAUCUUUGAACGCACAUUGCGCCCCUUGGUAUUCCAUGGGGCAUGCCUGUUCGAGCGUCAUUUGUACCUUCAAGCUUUGCUUGGUUUUGGGUGUUUGUCCUCCUUCCCCUGGGAGAGGACUCGCCUUAAAGUAAUUGGCAGCCAGUAUUUUGGUUUGAAGCGCAGCACAAGUCGCGAUUCAAGCUCAGAUAGGGGCAUCCAACAAGUCAUUUUAUCACUUUUGACCUCGGAUCAGGUAGGGAUACCCGCUGAACUUAAGCAUAUCAAUAAGCGGAGGA
rnacentral:misc_RNA from 1 species